ACAACUUUCAGCAACGGAUCUCUUGGCUCUCGCAUCGAUGAAGAACGCAGCGAAAUGCGAUAAGUAAUGUGAAUUGCAGAAUUCAGUGAAUCAUCGAAUCUUUGAACGCACCUUGCGCUCCUUGGUAUUCCGAGGGGCACGCCUGUUUGAGUGUCGUGAA
rnacentral:rRNA from 1 species